GAGCCGCUAGCUCAACUGGUAGAGCACCUGACUUUUAAUCAGGUGGUCGCGGGUUCGACCCCCGCGCGGCUCACCA
rnacentral:tRNA from 1 species